rnacentral:rRNA from 1 species
AACGAACGCUGGCGGCAUGCCUAACACAUGCAAGUCGAACGAGACCUUCGGGUCUAGUGGCGCACGGGUGCGUAACGCGUGGGAACCUGCACUUAGGUUCGGAAUAACUCCCCGAAAGGGGUGCUAAUACCGGGUAAUGUCUUCGGACCAAAGAUUUAUCGCCUUUGGAUGGGCCCGCGUUGGAUUAGCUUGUUGGUAGGGUAAAAGCCUACCAAGGCGACGAUCCAUAGCUGGUCUGAGAGGAUGAUCAGCCACACUGGGACUGAGACACGGCCCAGACUCCUACGGGAGGCAGCAGUGGGGAAUAUUGGACAAUGGGCGAAAGCCUGAUCCAGCAAUGCCGCGUGAGUGAUGAAGGCCUUAGGGUUGUAAAGCUCUUUUACCCGGGAUGAUAAUGACAGUACCGGGAGAAUAAGCUCCGGCUAACUCCGUG